AUUUAUUUCUUUGUUUUUAUUUUUGGCUGUGCCGGGUCUUUGUUGCUGCAAGCAGGCUUUCUCUGGUUGAGGCAAGAAUAUGAGAGUGGAUUGCCAUUUCCUGCUGGAGGGAAUCUUCCUGACCCAGGGGUUGAACCCACGUUCCAUGCAUCUCCUGCAUUGGCAGGUGGAUUCUUUACCACUGUGCCGCCUGGGAAGCCCUAUCACAAGGCCAUCAGAGUACAUCAUGCGAAAUGCUGGACUAGAUGAAGCACCAGCUGGAAUCAAGAUUGCCAGGAGAAAUAUCAAUAACCUCUGGUAUGCAGAUGACACCAUCCUUAUGGCAGAAAGCAAAGAAGAACUAAAGAGCCUCUUGAUGAAAGUGAAAGAGGAGAGUGAAAAAGCUGGCUUAAAACUCAACAUUCAGAAAACGAAGAUCAUGGCAUCUGGUCCCAUCACUUCAUGGCAAAUAGUUAUGGAGAGUGGCAAACUUUAUUUUCUUGGGCUCCAAAAUCACUGCAGAUGGUGAUUGCAGCCAUGAAAUUAAAAGAUGCUUGCUCCUUGGAAGAAAAAUUAUGACCAACCUAGACAGCAUAUUAAAAAACAGAGACAUUACUUUGCCAACAAAGGUUCAUCUAGUCAAAGCUAUGGUUUUUCCAGGAGUCAUGUAUGGAUGUGAGAGUUGGACUAUAAAGAAAGCUGAGCACCGAAGAAUUGAUGCUUUUGAACUGUGGUGUUGGAGAAGACUCUUGAGAGUCCCUUGGACUGCAAGGAGAUCCAACCAGUCAAUCCUAAAGGAAAUCAGUCCUGACUAUCCAUUGGAAGGACUGAUGCUGAAGCUGAAACUCCAAUACUUUGGCCACCUGAUGUGAAGAGCUGACUCAUUUGAAAAGACACUGUUCUGACAGUGGCUCAGGCACUGAGGCUUUUGUCCUGUUGUUGUCAUACUGUCGUUGAAACACACGAAGUUUAAUGUAUGGAAGGUAAAAGAGUGGAUGAAGAACUAUUCAUUGGAUUUUCAAACUAGAAUUAAUAUACAUUAUUUCCACCUACAUUCCAUGGCAAAAUCUUAAUAAAUAUGGAGCUUAAGAAAGUCCAGAUAUUUAACAUGUGGUAUAAUGUGCUAUAAUCUUGGAAUUCUAGUCUAGAAAGAACCAGGGUCUGCUAAGGGAGGAACUAUUUUUAUGGAAAGCCUAGCAGAAACAUAUUUGUUUGCAACAAAUUGUAUUUCUUUAAAUCUUUUUAUGAUGAAUCCUUUUGUUUACAGAAUUAAA